GACGAACGCUGGCGGCGUGCUUAACACAUGCAAGUCGAACGGAAAGGCCCUGCUUUUGUGGGGUGCUCGAGUGGCGAACGGGUGAGUAACACGUGAGUAACCUGCCCUUGACUUUGGGAUAACUUCAGGAAACUGGGGCUAAUACCGGAUAGGAGCUCCUGCCGCAUGGUGGGGGUUGGAAAGUUUCGGCGGUUGGGGAUGGACUCGCGGCUUAUCAGCUUGUUGGUGGGGUAGUGGCUUGCCAAGGCUUUGACGGGUAGCCGGCCUGAGAGGGUGACCGGCCACAUUGGGACUGAGAUACGGCCCAGACUCCUACGGGAGGCAGCAGUGGGGAAUAUUGCACAGUGGGCGGAAGCCUGAUGCAGCGACGCCGCGUGCGGGAUGACGGCCUUCGGGUUGUAAACCGCUUUCGCCUGUGACGAAGCGUGAGUGACGGUAAUGGGUAAAGAAGUACCGGCUAACUACGUG
rnacentral:rRNA from 1 species